rnacentral:rRNA from 1 species
ACUGCUCAGUAACACGUGGACAACCUACCCUCGGCACGGGGAUAAACCCGGGAAACUGGGUAUAAUACCCGAUAGUUCUGGUUAGCUGGAAUGCUACCAGGACGAAAGCUCCGGCGGCCGAGGAUGGGUCUGCGGCCUAUCAGGUAGUAGUGGGUGUAACGUACCUACUAGCCUACGACGGGUACGGGUUGUGAGAGCAAGAGCCCGGAGAUGGAUUCUGAGACACGAAUCCAGGCCCUACGGGGUGCAGCAGGCGCGAAAACUUUACAAUGCUGGCAACAGCGAUAAGGGGACCUCGAGUGCCAGGAUACAAUCUUGGCUGUCGUGAUGCCUAAAAAGCAUUGCAUAGCAAGGGCCGGGCAAGACCGGUGCCAGCCGCCGCGGUAACACCGGCGGCUCGAGUGGUAACCGCUAUUAUUGGGUCUAAAGGGUCUGUAGCCGGCCGGAUAAGUCUUUUGGGAAAUCCAGCUGCUCAACAGUUGGGCUUUCAGGAGAUACUGUUCGGCUCGAGGCCGGGAGAGGUGAGAGGUACUUCAGGGGUAGGGGUGAAAUCUUGUAAUCCUUGAAGGACCACCAGUGGCGAAGGCGUCUCACCAGAACGGACCUGACGGCAAGGGACGAAAGCUAGGGGCACGAACCGGAUUAGAUACCCGGGUAGUCCUAGCCGUAAACGAUACUCGCUAGGUGUCAGCCACGGUGCGACCGUGGUUGGUGCCGUAGGGAAGCCGUGAAGCGAGCCACCUGGGAAGUACGGCCGCAAGGCUGAAACUUAAAGGAAUUGGCGGGGGAGCACUACAACGGGUGGAGCCUGCGGUUUAAUUGGACUCAACGCCGGAAAGCUUACCGGGAU